UACGGAGAGUGCAAACGUUGUUCGGAUUCACUGGGCGUAAAGGGCACGUAGGCGGCUCGGCAAAUCGGUCGUGGAAUCCCGACGCUUACCGGUCGGAACGGCGGCCGAAAAUACCGGGCUCGAGGGCGUGAGGGGUCACUGGAACUCCUGGUGAAGCGGUGAAAUGCGUAGAUAUCAGGAGGAACACCGAUGGCGAAGGCAGGUCUCUGGGCCGCAACUGACGCUGAGGAGCGAAAGCAUGGGGAGCGAACAGG
rnacentral:rRNA from 1 species